UCUCUUAGUAUUCGGUUGUCUAUGAAACUAUUUGUGUUUUUUUUUAUUGAUUUCUCCAAAAAAUCCCCCCUUUGUUACAGUGUGUUUUUGGCUUUUUAUUGCCGAAAUAGUAAAUCAAAGAAAGAAAAAAAAUCUGAUUCGCAAAUACAUGAUUUUUCCUUCCAUACACUGUUUGAUUUCUUUCCUUGUUUUGCAGGUGAAGAUCGCACGGGGAUUCGGCUCUUGACUGCUUGGUGGCUGCGGCGCGAGGCUCCCUCAGAAACCCUAGGGUUUCUGAAACUGCUUUGGGCCUGGGUCUAAUUCUGCUUAUUUCAGUUUGGGCCUUGUGGCCCGUUUGUAAUAAUUUUUUCUUUUACCCGGGCCAAAAUCGGGUACUACAGGGAUGAUAGUAUUAUUUUUGACGAGGCAUCGAUCAGAUGAGCUUUAGUUGUGAAAGGAAUUUUAUAAGAAUAUGAACGAUGUUCAAGACAAUGCAUGAAUUUCGAUAAGUCUACAAUCUUUUUUAGUUCGAAUACCAUGGAGGAGAAAAAUAAAACUGUGACCACUUUGUUGAUGCGUUUUUCUAAUAACCCGGAGAGGUAUUUAGGGUUGCCAAAUAUAGUGGAAAGGUGGAAAAAGUGUUUCCAAAAUUUGAAGGACAGGGUUAAAGCAAGAAUUGAGGGAUGGAGAAUAAGGUUAUUGUCACAAGAAAUCGGUACUUCAGGCUAUACCAAUAUAUGCAGUGUUUUCUAUUGCCAAAUUCUCUUUGUAGGGAGCUUGAAAAGAUAAUGACACGAUCUUGGCGGCAAAAGUGAUAUGGGAGGGGGAUUCAUUGGUGUGCUUGGAGUCAAAUGUGUAGGCCAAAGAAACAAGGGGGAAGUUCAAUAUUGCUUUGUUAGCUAAGCAAGGUUGGAGGCUGAUAAACCAUCCAGAUUCAUUAUUAUCCCAUGUUCUUAAAGCAAAGUAUUUUCCAAGGUUAGAUUUUAUUAAUGCGCCUUUAGAUAAUUUACAUCGUAUACUUGGAAAAGAAUUUGGGCUGCGAAGGGUGUAUUGCAAGAGGGAUUAUGUUGUAGGGUGGGUUCUGGUGUUAAAAUUUCAAUUAAUGAUGAUGCUUGGAUUCUUGGGGCUGCUAAUUACAGAUUAGUCAAUUAUGAUAAUAGCAUGCAAAAUUCUAUGAUUGUUGAUCUGAUUGAUGCUAAUCAAAGAAUAUAGAAAGAAGAAUUAAUCGUUAAUACCUUUGCGACGGUGGACACUUCUAGAAUCCUUCGAAUUCUGCUGGCACAUGAGGCACAUGAAGAUCUGAUGGUGUGGAGUGGUGAGCCAUCCGGGGAGUUUUUGGUACGUAGCUUAUAAACUAUUAUAGAACUUUCCUAUGGUUCCUACUGCUUAUGCUUUACAGACCAGUACUAAGGAAUUUUAUAAACAGCUAUGGGGCCUAAACCUCCCUGGGAAAAUUAAGAUUACAAUAUGGAGGAUCUCUUGGAACUAUCUACCUACUUUUGUUAGCAUGAAACAUAAGAAGCUCAUUAAUAAGUAUGCUGUCCCGGUGUGGGGGAGAGGCCGAAACAGUAGACCAUGUGUUUCGUGCGUGCACUGUGUCCAUAGAGGUAUGGUCAGAAUUACAGUUAACUUGUAUUCUAGUCUCAGCAGAUAUGGGUUUUGAUUAGUGGCGAACCUGGGUUUUUGGGGGAUGCUCGGCCACUCAGAAGCGUAUUUUCUGUUAUGCGCUUUGGGCUAUCUGGGGCGAUAGAAAUACCAGGGUACAUGAACGGAAAAUUAAAACAGGGAAGGAGAUUGCUCGUUUUAUCGAAAACUAUCUUAGAGAUGACAGAAACAGAGAAAUGGACUUAUCCAAGAGCAAAUACGGGGGGGGGGGGGGGAAUGGGGCAAACCUUCUGGAUCUACCGUGAAGAUUAACUUUGAUGGAGCUUAAGACGGUCGAAACUUUCGGUCGGCCUCAGGAGCUGUCGCAAGGAAUGCUAAGGGGCGGGUUCUGUUAUCUCGUUCGGAGACCCAUAGUGGAGUAUUGUCCGCUUUCGCCGCUCAAGCCAUUGCAUGCCAUCAGGCGUUGGAAAUGGGCGUAGAAAUAGGUUGGGAAGAGGUUAUAUUGGAGGGGGAUUCAUUAACCACAAUUAAGAAAUGUAAGUCAAAAUAUCGAGACAAAUUGGUUAUAGGGGCAUACAUUCACAAUAUAAAACAGUUAGAAGGCAGUUUUCGGUGUAUCAGUUUCAAAUAUACCAUAUGAGCGGCGAAUGGAUUAUCACAUACCAUUGCAACAGCAACGUUAAAGAGAAGUGAAUCGAUUUAUCUAGUGGGCAGAGUUCCUGCAUAUGCAGAGCGAGCGUUGGAAGUGAAAUGGGAAAGGGACCCAGACUGAGGCAAGAGGUAAAGUGCAUGAGACAAGGGGAGACGGAUGAACUUUGGUGAAAAUAGGGUUUCAGAUUGGUUUCCUAUCCGAGCUCUGGAAUCGACGGGGAAAGGGAAAUGAUUUUUUGUUGGGACGGGUGAAAGGAAUGGAUUU
rnacentral:lncRNA from 1 species